rnacentral:lncRNA from 1 species
UCGCGCUCAGCCUCUGAGCACCAUUGAGUCACACCAACACCAAAGUUUUAGAGAAACAUUUAUUACAGGGUUGCAGAAUUUAUGUCAAUAUAAAGUCCCUUAUUAAAACUCUCAGGUUUAUCAACUGCAGGAGUAAUAUGCUACUUGCUCAUAAAAAGUUCAUCUAAAAAGUUUGUAU